rnacentral:rRNA from 1 species
UACGUAGGGGGGCUAGCGUUGUCCGGAAUCAUUGGGCGUAAAGAGCGUGUAGGCGGUCCGGUAAGUCCGCUGUGAAAGUCGGGGGCUCAACCCUCGAAUGCCGGUGGAUACUGUCGGGCUAGAGUGCGGAAGAGGCGAGUGGAAUUCCUGGUGUAGCGGUGAAAUGCGCAGAUAUCAGGAGGAACACCGAUUGCGAAGGCAGCUCGCUGGGACGUAACUGACGCUGAGACGCGAAAGCGUGGGGAGCAAACAGG